rnacentral:rRNA from 1 species
UACGUAGGGUGCGAGCGUUGUCCGGAAUUAUUGGGCGUAAAGAGCUCGUAGGCGGCUCGUCGCGUCGUCCGUGAAAACCCGCGGCUUAACCGCGGGCUUGCGGUUGAUACGGGCGGGCUAGAGUUCGGUAGGGGAGACUGGAAUUCCUGGUGUAGCGGUGAAAUGCGCAGAUAUCAGGAGGAACACCGGUGGCGAAGGCGGGUCUCUGGGCCGAUACUGACGCUGAGGAGCGAAAGCGUGGGGAGCGAACAGG